CCACCACCCAGGGAACAGAAAGACCAUAAUCAAGAUGGUGGCUUUCCCAAGGUGAGGCCCAUCCCUUGCUCUUGAGAUGGACUCCUAUGAUUUCUCCACUACCACAUGACCUGUGAUAGUGGGGACCUGUAUCCAUGCUUUCCCCUC
rnacentral:snRNA from 14 species